rnacentral:rRNA from 1 species
GACGAACCGUGCGAACGUUGUUCGGAAUCACUGGGCAUAAAGGGCGCGUAGGCGGCUCAUGAAGGCUGUGGUGAAAGUCCGGGGCUCAACCUCGGAUCGGCCGUGGCGACUCGUGGGCUGGAGCACUGUAGAGGCGGGUGGAAUUCCGGGUGUAGCGGUGGAAUGCGUAGAGAUCCGGAAGAACACCAGUGGCGAAGGCGGCCCGCUGGGCAGUGGCUGACGCUGAGGCGCGACAGCGUGGGGAGCAAACAGG